rnacentral:rRNA from 1 species
AGCAGCCGCGGUAAUUCCAGCUCCAAUAGCGUAUAUUAAAGUUGUUGCAGUUAAAAAGCUCGUAGUUGAAUUUCGGGAUUGACGUGAUGGUCAUGCCUUAAGGGGUAUGAACUGUUACUGUUGAUUUCUCACCUUCUGGAGAAACCUGAUGUCCUUUAUUGGGUGUCUUGCGGAUCCAGGACCUUUACCUUGAAAAAUUAGAGUGUUUAAAGCAGGCAUUUUUGCUCGAAUACAUUAGCAUGGAAUAAUAGAAUAGGACGGCAUGGUUCUAUUUUGUUGGUUUCUAGGAUCACCGUAAUGAUUAAUAGGGAUAGUUGGGGGCAUUAGUAUUCAAUUGUCAGAGGUGAAAUUCUUGGAUUUAUUGAAGACUAACUACUGCGAAAGCAUUUGCCAAGGAUGUUUUCAUUAAUCAAGAACGAAAGUUAGGGGAUCGAAGACGAUCAGAUACCG